UAGGGAAUCUUCCACAAUGGACGAAAGUCUGAUGGAGCAACGCCGCGUGAGUGAAGAAGGGUUUCGGCUCGUAAACUCUGUUGUUAAAGAAGAACAUAUCUGAGAGUAACUGUUCAGGUAUUGACGGUAUUUAACCAGAAAGCCACGGCUAACUACGGGCCAG
rnacentral:rRNA from 1 species